AGACAAUGUAAGUGAAGCAGCUGAACACAUCUAUGCUAAUAUUGAACUGAAACCUAAGAAAGAAAUGAAGAAAAAGAAGAAAGACAAGAAAGGGAAUUCCAGUGUAGGAGGGAAAACUGUGUACUCUAAACUGAAGAAAGGAGGAGGUCAAGGUGUUGCUUUUGGAUCUGUUGAUGUGGCCUACUCUUAGAUAAAAAAAAAAGAAAAGACGGCAAUACAGUAGCUAAAGCUUCAUGUGCAUCAGAGUAAAUGCUUCCUAAACUUUGAUUUUCUAAUAGCAUAAAAGAGUUUACUUAUCAGGAUAUGAGAAGCUCAGAUGCUCCCUCAAAAAUGAGACAAUGAUAUUAACCGAAUGCUCUCGGGACGUAUACAUUCAUCAAUACUUACGUUCCACUUAAUCCCAG